UAGGGAAUCUUCCACAAUGGGCGAAAGCCUGAUGGAGCAACGCCGCGUGUGUGAUGAAGGGUUUCGGCUCGUAAAACACUGUUGUAAGAGAAGAAUGACAUUGAGAGUAACUGUCAAUGUGUGACGGUAUCUUACCAGAAAGGAACGGCUAAAUACGUGCCA
rnacentral:rRNA from 1 species